UACGAGUGGCUCAAGCGUUAUCCGGAAUCAUUGGGCGUAAAGGUUGUGUAGGUGGUUGUAUUAGUCUCUUGUUAAAUUCUUCGGCUUAACCGGGGGCAUGCAAGGGAAACGGUACAACUAGAGGAUGCGAGGGGUCUGCGGAACUCAUAGUGUAGCGGUGAAAUGCGUUGAUAUUAUGGGGAACACCAAAAGCGAAGGCAGCAGACUGGAGCACUCCUGACACUGAAACAAGAAAGCGUGGGUCGCGAAUGGG
rnacentral:rRNA from 1 species